UACGUAGGGGGCAAGCGUUGUCCGGAAUCAUUGGGCGUAAAGCGCGUGUAGGCGGCCCGAUUAGUCCGCUGUGAAAGUCCAGGGCUCAACCCUGGGAUGCCGGUGGAUACUGUCGGGCUCGAGUCCGGAAGAGGCGAGUGGAAUUCCUGGUGUAGCGGUGAAAUGCGCAGAUAUCAGGAGGAACACCGGUGGCGAAGGCGGGUCUCUGGGCCGUUACUGACGCUGAGGAGCGAAAGCGUGGGGAGCGAACAGG
rnacentral:rRNA from 1 species